GACGAACGCUGGCGGCGUGCUUAACACAUGCAAGUCGAACGGAAAGGCCCUGCUUGCAGGGUACUCGAGUGGCCAACGGGUGAGUAACACGUGGGUGAUCUGCCCUGCACUUCGGGAUAAGCCUGGGAAACUGGGUCUAAUACCGGUUAGGAGCCAUUUUUAGUGUGAUGGUUGGAAAGUUUUUUCGGUGUAGGAUGAGCUCGCGGCCUAUCAGCUUGCUGGGGGGGUAAUGGCCUACCGAGGCGGCUAGGGGUAGCCGGCCUGAGGGGGUGGACUGCCAGAUUGGGACUGAGAUAGGGCAGAGAAACCGACGGGGGGCAGCAGUGGGGAAUAGUGAACAAUGGGCGCAGGCCGGAUGCAGCGACGCCGCGGGGGGGAUGACGGCCUUAGGGUUGUAAACUACUUUCGCGAGGGACGAAGCUUUUUGUGACGGUACCUAGAUAAGAAGCACCGGCUAACUACGUG
rnacentral:rRNA from 1 species